GGUGAACGCUGGCGGCGUGCCUAACACAUGCAAGUCGAGCGGUGCAGUUUGAAGCUUCGGUGGAAAGCUGCAUAGCGGCGGACGGGUGAGGAAAACGUAGGAACGUGCCCCUUGGAGUUGGAUAGCCACGGGAAACUGUGGGUAAACCGACAUAGACUCGAGAGAGUAAAGGCCGAAAGGCGCCAAGGGAGCGGCCUGCGGCCCAUCAGGUAGUUGGUAGUGUAAAGGACUACCAAGCCGACGACGGGUAGCCGGUCUGAGAGGAUGGCCGGCCACAAGGGCACUGAGAGACGGGCCCUACUCCUACGGGAGGCAGCAGUGGGGGAUUUUGGACAAUGGGCGAAAGCCUGAUCCAGCGACGCCGCGUGAGGGAAGAAGGUCUUCGGAUUGUAAACCUCUGUCCUUGGUGAAAAGUAAGAGAUGGUAGCCGAAGGAGGAAGCUCCGGCUAACUACGUG
rnacentral:rRNA from 1 species